GAAUUAGGAUUCAGGAGUGACGCGGAUAUGAAAGCUAGUUUAUCCGUCUUUCCUUUGGAAGUUGGAAAAUUAUUUAGUGUAGCUAGCUAGGUAACUAACUAACUAGUUAGAACUCACUCUUUUGCAGAAACUGAGAACAAACGAUUUACUGUGUGUAGAACCUAUUCAGAGGUGUGCUAGAGUUACAGUUCAUCAUCUUUAGGGAUUGGGGCGUCCUCUGAAUGUCGGGAUAACUUUGAAGAAGUUCUUUGUAUUCAGGGGUGGCUACAUAGAUAAAUCUGCAAGUUGAAGAUGGAUUGGGGCACAGAUCUGUGGGACCAAUUUGACAUCAUCGAGAAGCACACGCAGUCUGGCCUGGAGCUGGUGGAGAAGUAUGUCAAAUUUGUGAAGGAGAGGACUGAGAUCGAGCAGAGCUAUGCCAAGCAACUGAGGAACUUGACGAAGAAAUACAACCCUAAACGAGGCAGUAAAGAGGAGCCGGAAUGCCGGUGAGAAACAGUUGAGGCUUGAG